rnacentral:rRNA from 1 species
GUGUAAGUAUAAAUAAUUUUACUUUGAAACUGCGAAUGGCUCAUUAUAUCAUUUAUAGUUUAUUAGAAAUACUUUACUACUUGGAUAACCGUAGUAAUUCUAGGGCUAAUACAUGACUAAAUCCUCAACUUCGGAAGAGGUGUGUUUAUUAGUAUGAAAACCAUAUAUCUUCGGAUAUAAUAGUGAGUAAUAAUAACCUUUCGUAUCGUAUGUCGUAAGAUAACGAUAGUUCUUUCAAGUUUCUGCCCUAUCAGCUUUCGAUGGUAGUAUAUGGGACUACCAUGGCAGUAACGGGUAACGAAGAAUUUGGGUUCGAUUUCGGAGAGGGAGCCUGAGAGAUGGCUACCACAUCCGAGGAAGGCAGCAGGCGCGUAAAUUACCCAAUCCUGACAUAGGGAGGUAGUGACAAUAAAUCACAAUGCGGAACUAUUU